rnacentral:rRNA from 1 species
GAUGAACGCUAGCGGCAGGCUUAAUACAUGCAAGUCGAGGGGCAGCAGGACUGUAGCAAUACAGUUGCUGGCGACCGGCAAACGGGUGCGGAACACGUACGCAACCUACCCAUAACUGGGGAAUAGCCCGGGGAAACCCGGAUUAAUACCUCGUAACCUGGUGAAGUGGCAUCACUUUAUCAGUAUAGCUCCGGCGGUUAUGGAUGGGCGUGCGCCUGAUUAGGUAGUUGGCGGGGUAACGGCCCACCAAGCCUGCGAUCAGUAACUGGUGUGAGAGCACGACCAGUCACACGGGCACUGAGACACGGGCCCGACUCCUACGGGAGGCAGCAGUAAGGAAUAUUGGUCAAUGGACGCAAGUCUGAACCAGCCAUGCCGCGUGAAGGAUGAAGGUCCUCUGGAUUGUAAACUUCUUUUAUAGGGGACGAAACCCGGGUAUUCUUACCCGAUUGACGGUACCCUAGGAAUAAGCACCGGCUAACUCCGUGCCAGCCGCCGCAGUAACAC